UACGUAGGGUGCAAGCGUUGUCCGGAUUUAUUGGGCGUAAAGAGCGUGUAGGCGGUUAGGUAGGUCCGUUGUGAAAACUCGAGGCUCAACCUCGAGACGCCGAUGGAAACCCCCUAACUAGAGUCCGGAAGAGGAGAGUGGAAUUCCUGGUGUAGCGGUGAAAUGCGCAGAUAUCAGGAAGAACACCCGUGGCUAAGGCGGCUCUCUAGUACGGUACUGACGCUGAGACGCGAAAGCGUGGGGAGCGAACAGG
rnacentral:rRNA from 1 species